UACGAAGGGGGCUAGCGUUGCUCGGAAUCACUGGGCGUAAAGGGUGCGUAGGCGGGUCUUUAAGUCAGGGGUGAAAUCCUGGAGCUCAACUCCAGAACUGCCCUUGAUACUGGCGGUCUCGAGUCCGGGAGAGGUGAGUGGAACUGCGAGUGUAGAGGUGAAAUUCGUAGAUAUUCGCAAGAACACCAGUGGCGAAGGCGGCUCACUGGCCCGGUACUGACGCUGAGGUGCGAAAGCGUGGGGAGCAACAGG
rnacentral:rRNA from 1 species